GGCCUGUGAAUGAAAGCUAAGGGAAUUAAGACCAAAGGCCCAGCCCAGAAUGAACAAAGUCUCCAACCCGGCCCAUGGGAAUGGUCCUCUGGACGCAAUCUGCAGGAGGGAGUAUGCUGCAGGGGAUGUGACUUGUCGAUCUGAAGGCCCCUCGAGUAGUGUCCAGCUCUCGAGUGCUUGUCCGCAUCGUGGGCGUAAUGUGCAAGGAACCCUCGAUCUUCUGA